ensembl:lncRNA
GUCAGUUUGGGUCAUCUGUCCUGGUUUUGUUCUCUCACAGCUCCCUGUGCACUCCCCGCCUGCCUUGAUGGUGAGACAGUACAAGACGCUAAGAAAACUGAAAUGUCCUCAGCUCUUUGCAGCACUGCUCAGCAACAACUAAAACAUCAAUGUUACAUCAACAUCAUUUUUCACCUAAAGCCAAAACAUAGGAUAAUACCGACCACUAUGAAGAAAAUCAACUAAUUCCCAGAUGAAAUAAGGACAUUUUUCAUGGUAAUUCCAGCGAUGAAAAGCAGAACAUCACUACAGUUUACCUACUAUGAUGGAGAAUAUUUUGGAAGCUAUCUGUUUGGUCAAGGAAAAGUGACACAGUAUUCUAAGGAAGCACUGAUGUGUUAUCUACUAAUAGCCUGCUUCUCAGAAAAUAAAACAGGGAGCUGGAAGUGCACAAGGAAAAAUAUAAGUUCAAAAACUGAACAAAUAAUAAAAUGAGCACUAAGAUAAGAUACAAAUGAUUUCACUUUCUCAUUAGUAUAUGUUGUUUAUACAAAAAAUCUUACAAACAUUCCCACUUGAACUCUUCUUUACAGAGACUGAGGUUGAUGUUUUCAAAUGUUUCUAGAAGAGCAGAAUCUUCCAUUUGUUGGUUUUACCAAAUCCUUAGAUUAAAAAAAUAAUAAUAAUUACUACUGACAUUUUUAUGUGUCACUAUGGAAAGUUUUGAUAAAAAAUAUAAAAUUUUAGUUUAUUUAUAGUGUUUUAAACAGAAUUCUGAGGUGUAUAGGUGAUUCUGCCCCUCAGCUCUGCUCUUGUGAGACACCACCUGGAGUACUGCACGCUGUUCUGGGGCCCCCAACACAAGAAGGACGUGGAGCUGCUGGAUCAGGUCCAGAGGAGGGCCAAGAAGAUGAUCGGAGAACUGGAGCACCUCCCCUACAGGGACAAGCUGAGGGAGCUGGGGCUUUUCACCCUGAAGAAGAGAAGGCCUCAGGGGAACCUUAUAGCAGCCUUCCAGUACCUGAAGGGGACCUACAAGAGAGGAAUUCUGUAAUAUCUUGAAAUACUAAAAAAAAAAUACUACGAAAGAACAAUUAGUAUGAAAAUCAGCCUGUGACAGAGCUCUCAUGCAAAACUGAAGACACAACAAGAGCAAAUUCAUCUUUUCUGUAUCGCUGGCAUGAGACAAAACAUUUGUGAGACUGUUAUGAAAGCCUGAGAUUUUUUGUUGGUUUCAUAAUGUAUUGUAGUUACAAGGUUUUAAAAGAUCAAAGGAUUCAAGUUCUCCAAAUACUUUCACCAUGUGAAUGUAUCUGAACUUUAAAAUAUAAAGAAAUAAGAAAGACAGUCUUGAUUUGAAAUGAAUAUUCAUAUAUGCAAUUGAUUUUUGUCAGCCUUCAUUGUCUUCUUCUACUUUUGGUCUCUGUGAAAAACUGUGUUCCAUUAAUAUUUUUAAAAUGGAAUAAUAUUCGGAAUAUCCUGUGCUGUCACACAGUAAAAUUAAUAGUGCUCUCAGUCAUCAUAUACAAGAAUAAAACCAGUAGUUAAGGUCAAAAUUGACAUCCUGUACUUGGCUUAAUUUUAGAAUUACACAAUUAAGAACACUAGUGAAUUAAGAACUUUUUAGAAAACAUUCAAUUUUGAUCUUUGCUGUGUACAAAAAAAAAAAAAAAAGAGCAUAGAGGAUAGGAAGUAGGACAGCUCUUAUAUUCGCUGUAUGUUUUUGAUCAUCUGCUACAAAUAACUGCAGGAGUACUUUGCUUUGAAUUCCCUUUGUUUAUCAUAAAGAUAAAAAUUUAAUAAAUUUUUGUUCACUGAAAUGAGAAUUUGCUGACAAAAAAAUUACAUUUCGCUACUUCCUGUGUGUAAAGAGGAUAUAAAGUGCUACUAAUACAGUUGGCUUUCCAUAUGCAAGGGUAGAAAUGGAUACAAGAGGUUGAAGACAGUGAAGAGGCAAAUGCACUAUUUUCAAGUUACCUAGUAUGCCAUCUUCUGGAAAUUCUUAUGAAAGCCAUAAUUCUUGUAUGGUCCCUUGCUAUCUGAUUUCUGGUGCUACCAUUACUCCUAGAAAAGUGUCCACCAGCUAUCUCAAGGAAAAAUACGUAUAACCCUUCCUUAUUUUUAGGGGACAGGAAAAGUGAGGGGAACACUAUUUCAGCUGGACAGAUCUUUUCAAUUUGGCAAUAUAUUUAUGUAAGUGUCUUGUUUGUGUUGGAGAAAUUUUGCUUGAAUCAAGUAUAAACAGAAUUUGUAAUUAUUACUCUAUUUUGUAAAAACAGUGAUAAGUUGAAAGUAUCCCAGGGUCCACUGUGUGAAAAUAUUUCCAUUCUCUUUAGGGAGCAUUCGUGUUAACUUUUAGCAUCGUCUGAUUCCUACACUCUCUGAUCGGUUUUAUUUAGUAUUCCAUGAAUGGUGUGUGUAAUGUAUAGAAUCAGAUUUACUUAUUUAAAGGCAUUUCAUGUUACAAGGAACUUCUGAUUUUGCAGAGUGGUAUAAAAUAUAAUGAAAAUACUGUGCAAAUGUAAACUACCUUUAACAAAAUUGCAUUACACUGUUCAAACACAAUAGUAAUGUAAUUCCCAUUAGCUGUUUCUGUAACAUAAUCAUCAUCACAGUGCUAAAGUCCCCAGUUUCCAGAAAAGAAUACAUAGAGAAAAGCUAACUCAGGCUCAUAGAUCCCCUCAAAAUUCUUCUUCUAGUUGUUGGGUCUUUUUUUCCUCUCUUAUUGCUUAGUCGUAUAUUCACUCUUCCCAGACUGGUUCUGCUAACUCUCAGAGACAUUUACACUUUUUUUAAUGAACUGAGAGAGAAACAUUUAAACUAGAAAUUCAUCCACUGAACUCUUGAUAGUAGUUUACCUAAAAUAAUGGAGAAUAAGCCAACGUAAAUUAGUCACACUCUGUAUUAUUCUCAUGAGCUUCAUGAACAUGGCAUGUUUGCCCAUCUGCAGAGCUGUCUUAUUCUUAUGGGUCCCUUCAAACUUGGGAUAUCCCAUGGUUCUAUGAUUCUUCUACUGUAAGCAUUCAUUCAGUGAAUCAUAAGUGCAUAAUGUAUCGUGGAAGAGUAUUUUAUUUAUUUAUUUAUUUAUUUUUAGUACUUGUGUUAUUUAAUAUUCUUUUGUAAAAAAAAAAAUAAUAAAAAAAGAAAAUAAACUAUUUGUGUAAAAGCUUCCUGCAAAGUGAAACUAAAAAGAAAAAAAUUCUGCACAGGAAGGAGAUUUUCUGUGACCACAGGGGAUCCAAUCCUUAGUCAAAGAAGCCACAUGAAUCUGCUGCUUGCAAUGGCUUUUUGGGUGCUCUGUCUUCUGACACAUGCUGAUCAGAGUUUGCUUCUUAUCAAGCCACAGUAAUUUCUUUGUUUUCAGGGGAAGAAUGUUACUUGUCACCUCCUUUCAGCUCCUCCUCAGGAAAGCACUUUAAGCAACUGCUCUGCUAGGGAUUUACUUAACAGAAAGAAUAUGUUUGCAUCCUGUUUUAAUCAGAAAAGCUGCAUGAAUUGCAGUUAAAGUUUGAAGACUGUGUAUAGGUCCAUGAUUAGAAAAAAAGUAGGAUUGAGGAGUAGACAGCAGUGGAACACUGACAUAGCAGUUGAUGUACCUCAUAUUUAUUCAUAGUCUAUUCACAUAAAAUGAAUUUUGUCAUGCUCUUAUUAGCUCCUUUUAAUUCACUACAACAUAUUAAACGAAGCAAGAGGCCCUUUACUCCACAUCAAGUCCAAUUAGCAUCAACUGGGUUUUUCGAUUUUGUUUUACAUGCACUGGAAGAAAACUACAGAGACUGUUUCUGACUGAAAUGUUUGCACUUCACCACAUGCAGAAACAUAUGAUGCUGAAGUGACACUGAGGGAUGGAUUCUGUGCUACAGCCUUUGCAUUGGGUAGCAUUGGCAGGUCUGGAGAAAAAUCUACUGUUGUGAUCUCCAUCUUGCUUCCUGAAACCUGGGAUAGAACAGUUCUUCCUGAAUUUGCCCUUUCCAAAAUAACACUUGGUCAUGCAUUUGGUCUUAGGUAUUAAGAUUCAUUGACUCUCUGACUCUGAUCUGUUACUCAGAGAAUAGUUGUAUAGAUCAUCAGCAGAAACAGCUUUAUUGAUAAUACUAUGCUAUACAGCAUACGUAGUUCAUAUCUACUGCUUCCAAAAUAGAAAAUCAGAAGGUUUUUGUUUGUUUGUUUGUUUGUUUUAAGGCAAAAUUGCUUCAAAUUUGAUAUCAUGGAACAGUGUGUACACAAAGAUGUUAGAAUCCAUUAAAUGACUUUAUUGCAUUUACCUGAAAUGUUCAUUCUUUUAUUAUUUAAUUUAUCCACAAGGAAAUGGGGUAAGAAAAUGAGGGAAUGGGAACUGAGGAAAGAAGAGGAGUUGCAGAUGAGGAAACAUACUUUCAAAUAACUCCCUAGUCAAAGAAACAAAAAUCAGGGACUCUGACACAUAGCAGCUAUGGAAUUAAGGGACUACUAAAAGAGGAUGGCCUGUUACUUUAUGUCUCCUCUCUUAACUGUGUGGGAUAUCAAGCUGCCUGUUUUGUGCAUUUAGUUGACUAUACAUAAAUCAAAUUUGAUUAAACUUAUUACACUUUCAAAUCUCAGCACCAAAUCACCUCUUCUUUAUGCUGUUCCCAGUGGUGUGUUCAGUGGAAAUGUGAAUAAAGUGCCACAAGCUGCAUUCAAGAAGUGUCAUAUAGUCUGGAAAAUUCAGUCCUGAAUAAUUUUUCCAAUAUAAAUUUGUAGUCUGUAGAGUUAAUGUGCACCUGAAGUGGAGAUAGUGCCAACAUACAUCACUAAUUUCAAUUCAAUUGUUUUCAUUUGCAUCUAUUAUUACAAUUUUGGAGUUCAAGCUUAUCUUUAAGAUUUUUGCUAGUAUUUUUGCAAGCAACAAGGUUUUUUUUUGUUUUUUUUUUUUGUUUGUUUGUUUUUAACAUGAGAGAUUAAGGUCAUAAGUAUUUAAAAUAAUUUAGACUUUAUUCUCUUUGGCCUUCAAGACUUCCACAUUCUUGGUACUUAUUUUUGUCAGUCUGGAUGUUCAGCUAUUGCUGUCUUUGCAGACAUUGUACAUUCUGAGAAAUAUGAAACACUGCUUUUGCGUAUUGUGUUAGCAUACUGCAUUUCAUGAAUCAUAGUUUAAUAAUCUUUUGUAGUUUGCUUGGUAAAUAUUUGUUGACACUUCCUGUUUAUUUGAUAUAUUGCCACGUUCUUCCCUUAGGUACUCAUUACAUUCCUGUAGAUCCAAUCAUAGCAUGCUAAUUUUUCAAUUUUUGUUAAAUAAUCUUUAGUUGUGAAAAUCUCUUUGUAUUUGUAUUACCUCUUUAAGAAAAUACACUUUUUGUUUGUUUGUUUUUAUGUACCAACUUCUUUAACAUCUGCUAAGAUGUUUUCCUAGAUGCUCAUAUACUUUGCAUUAGAUAUGCUUCCACAAAAUUCAAAAUUAAAAAAAUAUAUAUAAGGAUUAAAUCAACUUUCAACAUGAAUAAAAGAUGCAGACUUUUUUAUUAGUAGUACACAUUCUUACAUUUCUUAAAUUAUCUAAUAAUGUUUGUAUAUUUUUACAAAGUUUUGAUUUUCCUUUUAUAUAUUUUGAUGUGCCAUUCACCAAUGAAAUCCUGAAUAGAAUCGCAACACAUAGCACAAAGUCUCUGGUAUGAGCUAUCAAAACAUUCAGGAAGGUAAUGUCACCUGUUAAGGAAAUAAAAACAGUUCCAGUGCUAUGGAGUUCAGAGAUGAUUAUGAAUGGGUUUAGAAAUGUCAACCUCUGCUUCAUUAACGAGGAUCUCUGGGUUUGGAACUGUCAGAAAAGGUAGCACUACUUUCCUUGUUCUUUUAUUAAUUUAUAUCCUAAACCAGACACUAUGACACUUUGUUUAAGUAUUGUGAGCUCUGGUUUCAGCAUGCCUUUCUUAGAUCUCCUGAAGCUACACUUUGUAUACAAGAGCUGAAGUUAUUCAACCCAAGCUGAUUUAAAGACAGCCUAUUGGGAUACCUUUCCUAAUAAUAUGUUUCAACCACCACAAGCGGUAAACAAAUAAAAAACAAUGAAUGUAGAAAUAUAACCAAUCUAGACCACUGAUUGUUCUAGACAUAUUGACUGUUUCAUCUAGCAGUCAUCAGAAUGUCAUCAACAUAGAAAUAAUUUCAUGCCGUUAAUACCACAAUAUUUUUUCCACCAUGAGACUGAAACUAUGAGAGUCUUAAACACCCACAUUUUCUAUGUCAAAUGCAGUGAUGGCUUGUCAAAGAAUCAUAGAAUCAUUAAGGUUGGAAAAGACACUUAACAUCAUCUAGUCCAACUGUCCACCAACCACCAGUAUUGCAUUUCAUAGCUAACAUCAGUGUAAGAGCAAUUUUCAUCAUAAGACAUAAGCUUUGUUUUUUCAGUGUAGUCAGAAGGUUGUUAUUGUUCUUCUUAUGUGUACUACUGCAUAUUGAGAAAAUCUCCUUUGUUGUGACAGAAUUAUGACUAAGCUCAAGAGCUCUCUCCAUGCAACCAACUUCUAAACUAAUCAGAGGUGUUAGGCAGUGGUAUGCAUAGAGUACUGCUCCUUUUGUCAAAAUUCAUUGCCAUUAAUGAAGUAGAAUCUCUAAAUCAAGGUCCAAUGAAUAUUGGGUAAAAAUAUACUAGGGGACUCUGCACUAAAGACGUUUCCUGACUAGUUCUUAAGAAUUUCAAGAUUAGAUGCAAUAGGUGUUUUGUUUUGUUCUUUUGUUUGUUUGUUUGUUUGUUCUUAAGAAUAGGUGCCAAAGAACUUGGGGGUCCUGGUAGAUGAGAAGCUGGACAUGAGCCAGUAGUGUGCGCUUGCAGCCUGGAAGGCCAACUAUGUUCAGGGCUGCAUUAAAAAAGGGGUGGCCAGCAGGGAGAGGGAGGUGAUUGUGCCCCUCUACUCAGCUCUUGUGAAGCCUCAUCUGCAGUACUGCAUCCAGGCCUGGGGCCUCCAGUACAGGAAGGAUGUGAAACACUUGGAGCGGGUCCAGAGGAGGGCCACUAAGAUGAUCAGAGGGCUGGAGCACCUCUCCUAUGAGGAAAGGUUGAGAGAACCGGGCUUGUUUAGCUUGGAGAAGAGAAGGCUCUGGGGAAACCUCAUUGUGGCCUUCCAGUACUUGAAGAGAGUCUAUAAAUAGGAAGGGGAGCAGCUGUUUACAAGGGUGGAUAGUGAUAAGACAAGGGGAAAUGUUUUCAAACUGGGACAGGGGAGGUUUAGGUUAGAUAUUA